AAUGAGAACGAUUCCAUUAUUUGUGUACCUGGCCAGGGCCGCUCACCCGAAACAAGGACUUGAGGACAUCUUUGAAUUGUAUCAGCCACCUUAUUUAUUGGUAAACGUUGGAGCUGUAGAUUAUUGUUUAUACGCUUUCACUGUCACCGGAUACUUGUCUCUUCUGCUUUGGAAACUGCAUAACAAAAAUGAUGGAUUUACUACUUGAUGUUUGAGUUUAUUAUGUAAUUUGUCGGUUGGUUCAUGUUUAGUCAGCAUUAUUUUUCUUUAUGCUUACAUGGCCCCUGUUUUGGAAUUGUUCAACAUUUAUUGUUUAUAUCAAAUGAUUACUGGUUUCCUACAUCCCCUCCAGGGAACAAUCAGAGGGAAAGCUUGAAGGCACUUUAGGUUAUAUUGGUGAUGAUUCCUAUGUUCAAGCGUAUGGUUAGAGUGUUUGGAGCGGUUUUAUGGAUGCCACAAUCAGGAUAAUGCCAUGGCCAUGGCCAUCGCAUAGGGGAGCCAAGCACUAGGGAGACAAAGAGUUGGGAAGGAAGAGAUUAGGAAGAAGGGAAUUUGCAGUUGUUUGGAAAAAGGGGAGGGAUCAAGCUAUUUUCAGGUACUUAUGGGCAUGCAAAUAAUUGCAUCAUAUUGCACCUUGCUAUUUUCCAUUGUAGACCAAAGAUCCUGUUGGAAAUCCAGGUUGGGCAUGACCGAGCCAAGGAUCAGUGAACUUCAUAAAUUAAAGAAGCAGAAAAUUCUAAGAGAUAUGACAUGUCCAGAAUUCUGCAGUUCUAUUGUCAGUAUAUACUAGCAGGAUUAUCCUUCUAUUUUAAUAGUUUUUUGUCCCAGCUUUUAUGUUUAGCUCCCUAUAUGAUUUUUUUUGAGACUGCUUGGGUAUGCCAUAUGUGUGUUUGAAUUUAGGACCUUCAAAAGAAUUUUUGUAAGCCAUAAACACGCCUUCACUUCCUGGAUUUAUCUCGCUUUCUCAACUAUUGAUCCCUUCGAUUGUUUAUUGAAUAUUAUCGUGGUUGUUAUUUUACAAUGUUUGGUAAUAUAGUUAGUGGCGCUAAACUAUUUGUCGUCAGCAUAAGGCUUGCAUUACUGGUCAUAUGUGGAAAUCUCAGCUUUCAAUGACAGAAAAAACUCUUAUGCAAUAAACUGCAUCUCUAUAACUAAUUUUGUGGCACAGAUAUACCAACACAUGUUCCUCAUUCUCAUUGAUUGGAUGUGCUUUAUUUAUUUAUUUAUUGGGUACUGCCUUCCAUUCUUAGCUGGUAAAUAACCAUGCAUGCCGCAAUUGUAGUACGAGCAGCUUAUAUAUGAUCCUAUCAUGUUAUCUUACAUUACAUAUGCUGCCCAAAAAAAAAUACCAUGAUGUGAUUUAAGUCUACAGACUUUACUCUUGAGGCUGACAGUGCUUUCUGUCAAUGAAAUCUCCAUAGAUUGCUUCCUUUUAUGGAUGAUGUCCUCGAGAAAAUUUAUUAUUAUUAUAUGUUCCCUGAUUCUUAGUCUGUAUCCAAAUUACAUGAGUGAGUUUUUCAUACUCAUAUUUGGUUAUGUCUUGAUUGCAGGUCAAAUAUUUGUGGGUGAUUACAGUUUCCAAGGGCUUCACCAAUCCGAAAGGUAACGACGAUUAUGUAUUAUUCAUGUUGUGUUUAACCAUUGGGGAGUGAGUUAUGGCACACGGUUAGUGCCAUCAUAUACUCUAAUUCUACUAGGUUGAUUUGGAGUGAACAAUUGACUUUGUUGAGAAGCGGCUAACAUUCGCCACUAUCGUCUUCUAUGCCACGGUUGUAGGCUCUCUUCUCUGUCGCCUCGUGGGCUUUCAGCGUCUCAUCGAUAUGGAAUUGGGGAUUUUAGAACAUGACAGGCUUGACAAUUUAACUGAUUGCAUUUUAUAAGUUUGUGGACUGAAGUGUUCCCACCAGACAAAUUUUACGUACAAAGUACUACAAUUAUAAUUUACUAUUUAAAAUAUGUUAAUUAGUAUACAAAUUUUACGUGCAAUACUUUCACCAAAGGGUUAUUGUCACCUGGCUAGAGGAAGCAUAGAUUCUUAAUUGUUCGGCUAUUUAUUGGCCAAGUAUUAUGAUUGCACAAUUUGCCUGGAGCUACGAGAAGUAUUUUGUUAGACUUAUUCAUCUUCCUUGGCUAGAAGAGGAGCUAGCGAUGCCUGUAUAAUUUGUAUCAUUUUAAUAUUACCAUAUUGCUCUUUAUUGGAAAACAAUUGACAUAAAGUCUUACAACA